ACCCCUUGAUUUCAAUUCACUGAUCUUCAAUCGAAAAAGUCAUGUUGUGUGCGUAACAGUUUCAUGUGUAUGUGGAGUAUCAAUGAGAUGUAAAUAAGUGGCCCUGAAUUCUGUAGUUUUGCCCAGGUGGCUCUCCUCCUCUAUCAUGGGAGGAUCUCCUCCAAAGUACUAUGUAAAUUUGAGGUAAGUACCUUUUCCUUUUCUGCUGGAAAUUUUCUGAAAUUCACUCUCUCGGUAUUCUUGAGUUUUGUUGUAAUUGGUCACUUAUCUCCCCCUCUUUUUCAUAGAUUGAUUCAUGGAGUGCUGUCCUGUGGCUUGACAGAGACACAGUACACAAGUUUCCGUCAAGCAGCCAACAUUGGGUCAGAGGUAGGAAAAACCUUUGACACAGGUUAGUAAUGCACUUUCUCUAAUGCUCCUAAAAUCAUAUUGUACUUCUUCUUGCAAGCAAAUGGCAAGAUAUAGCAUAGUUCAUGAACUCAAAGAUUGCACAAUUUUCUGUAAAAAUGGAAAACCAGAAGCAUUAUACUUACUAUUAUUAAUACUGAUUUAUUAAUUUGUUUUUCUUUAACUUUUUUAUUUAUUACUCGGAGAAAUCAUAUCAAUUGCCAUGCAGGGUCACGGUACAAGCAGAAUGGUUAUGUAAUGAGUAAAAAGGUAUGUAUGUUUGUAUAUUAUGUGAAUAGAUAAAGCAUCAUUUCUGCAGAUGUACCAACAUGCCAGGAAUCCAAAUCGCCCGGCAGAGACCAAGGUGCUUACUGCAAAGACAUUCAAAUUCAGCAAAACUAUCUGGUCUACCCUUUUUAUAUAAUCUAAAUAACUGAUGUCCAUUCUGCUUUCCAGUGAUUCUGACUUUCUGUGAUGAUUUUAAAUGGGAGCCCAAAUGUCUUGUAAAAGAUGUGAGGUAACCAGGGAGGAAUAAAUCCACAGCUUGAGCAGAUUUAAGCAUUGGGCUAAAGGGCUUUUUUUCAGUCAUUUAUUUCGGGUUUUGCUCAAAGCAGGCCUGCGGCCCACGGCCCACGGCCCAGUGGCCUGACAGCCUGAAGGCGCGGAGGCGCGGUGGCCAAGUCCUGAUUUUCAACAGAUUUUUUGUCCAGCAGUAAAUCCACAAGCAUGCACAGAUCUGCAUCGGGUUUGGGCGUGCAAAAUGGAUGACAGUGAGCUUGAAUUCGUUUACCAUUUAAUCAUUUGAAUUCUUGUUUCUGUUUGUUGCAUGUUGUUCAGAUAAAAACGUUUUGAUUCUCUGUUCAUUAGUCUCUUUACAGAAACCGAUAGCACAGUAGAGGACUUUCAUUAUGAUGCAGGUUAUUUUUAAACCAUACUUUAAAAGUGAAAAUAUCAUAACAACAAAGGAAAGGAAAUAUGAACCAAGGGUAAAAUUGAAGCAGAACACAAACAAGAAAAUUUGAAUCUCUUGAUGGAGGGGUUUGAUUUUUUCACUUUUCGCCAUGAUCGAAAAUUACUCCUUUUACACCCGAAAUAAUGCACCGUAUUUCUUUGCAAGCCUCGAAUAAGGAGCUGCCUCCUUGAUGUCCGAAAGCAUAACGUUGGAAAAUCGAUUGGUCACCCAACUGAGAAGCAGAGUUCGCUUGUUGACCUUGGUGACAAUGAUGAAAAUGAUUCUCAGAUGAUGGAGCUUCUGAAACAAAUGAGCUGACAAUGUCAAUUGGAAGUAUGGUGUGCUGAAACUUUGGAGAUCAGGUAUGAAGUAGGGACUUCCAGUACCUCCUCUACUGUGUAAGUGUAAAAGAGAAAGAUCAAGUAAUACAUGACCUCUGGAAGCAGCACACUGAAGAGAUGAAAAUGUUGGAAGGUAAUGUUUUGACUGUUUGUGAUAAAGAGUGAACUGUUGAAUUUCAGCCAGGAGCAGACAUGUCCUGGCAGAGCUGGGCUGCCAAUGAACUCAACCAGGCAGCUACAUAUCCUUCCCCAUAUGCAAAUGUUCAUAAAGGAAACAUGAACACUAUGGGGGGUAGUAUUGGAAUGGGUAAAGAUGACACCUGGAAGCCAUAUACUAUGGAAAUAAGAACCUCUAAUACUGAAAAGGUAAACAAACUAGAAAACACUUUUGUUAGCUGGGUUAGUCUCUUUGCAUCCUUUAGAAAGGAUGAAACAGAAGCACAAACAAACCAACAACUGGCUCUUAGCAAGAUAGGUGAGUAUCUGAGGAAUGCAGGGGGGCUUUUAAUAGAAUAGAGACCAAUUCUGCUCAGAUUGCAAAACUGAAAGAAGUGUGUAGUAUGUGUUUUAACCUGAUGUCUUUGUUUUUUUCAUCCAGUGUUAAUGUCACAACAUGGACAGCUGGGUAUGCCAUUCCCUAUCAUGCAAAUUUGCUGUUUACAAUUAAUAGGGUGGGCUAUGGCAUUGUCUCUUUGCAGGCUAAAGAGGCCAAACAUUCUGGAGUGAAGAAAGAUUUGACCUUAACUAACCAGUCAAUUAACAUCAACCAAUGCCCUCUUCUUAUACCUCACACUACCAAUCGCGUUCUCCGCCACACUGUUACCAAUCAAAUGUUUGUAAUUGUGGUAGAAAUAAAGAAAAUGAUUUCCUCAGUUGUCAAGUUUGUUUGUCGAGUAUUGACCUUGUGACUUGUGCAAGCAGCAGAGGCCUGACAGAUUCAGUGUUGUGUGCACUAAAACCCGUUGUCUGUCAACAGUGCAAUACUCACUUUGCUGAUAACUUAUCACUGUCAUCUCAUUCUGCAAAGCCACUGAGGUAAGGUAAGAAGUGUAGCUAUCAAUCCAACUUUGAUGACAGUACCUGGUUUAAAGGAAGCUUUACAUAGUAUAGGAUUGAGCACAGGUAAUAAGGAAAUUCUAAUCAAUCGCCUUGAAGGUGCAUUGGCUGGGGAAGGGUAGUUCAGUUAUUUUUAAUCAACAGUUUCAAUCUCCCUAAAUAUUUGAUUUUAAUUUUAUUUUUCUUGGUCAAGUUGGUGCACAGUUAGGCAUACUUGCUAUGAGAAUGAUAACUAAGCUCUCAACAAAUUCUGUGUACCAGUAAUGUGAGUAAAAUGCCUACUUAAUAAGAAAAAUGUAUUAAAAUUGGUGCAAAAUUGUUUAAAUUAGCUGUUUGCCAGGGAGGUUAAACCUGUCAGAAUGAAAAAGUACUGUUGUCACUGAUAUCACCUUGUAUGCGCUGAUAUAUUACAUAGAAAACUAUACAAACCCAUUAUUAUUAUUUUUUUUUUGUUUUUACCAAUUUGCAUUUUAGAGGCAGGGUUUCUGCUCUAAUGUACAUAAAGGUUUGGCCAUCUAACCCUCAUCCUCGGAGACCCAGGGGCUGUGGGUC